UAUCAAUAUAGAUCAUAUUAAGUAUUGUUAGUUAUAGGUUGAGCAAGAAAUUACUAAAUUGGUAACAUAUACCUACAUAUAUAGACAAUGCUGAACUGAAUGCAAAUCGCUUGUUAAAGUCAUCUUACAAGCGAUUGGCCUAACUUCCAGCUAAUGGCCAAACAUAUAGCCACAAAACAACAAAAUCAAGGCGUUCAUGUUUUGCGCUUAAGAAAAUUCAUGCAUUUGAUAAUGGAUCGGUCAAAACGUCCUAUAUAAGCCUUUUUCUUUGGAUUAAGUAAGAGAGCAAAUAUAAGGAAAAAGCAGAGCGAAGGUAAAUUCUCAUUCUCAUUUGAUGUAAGUUAGGUGAACUUGUGUCUACAAUGCAAGUAUGGGUAUGGGUAUGGGUAUGCUUUCGUUUCAGACACGAAUGCGAUAUCGCUUUGCAGAACUUAAUAAAUGGAUUCGUCGGAUUAGGAAGGUUAGAGCAUCCUUCCUUCCUUAAAAGCUCCGUUUAGUGUAUGAAAUUUACUCAGCUGAGUAACAUCUGAGGUACCCUUCAUUGGAGCAAACUCAAUCCAACGUCCUACAGAAAUAUGUUCUCGUUUGAUGGCGCAUUUACCUUUAAAUGAAGCGAUACGACGGACCAUGUAACUUAGCUGUAUUGGUGGUCAUAAAGUGGUGAAUUCUUUGAAGCCUAUCUAAAAUUUGUGAUCUGAUGUGUACGUGGAAUUACCCGUCACCACAUAAUCCGAUGUCUAGUUACAUAUUUUACAAAGACGAAGUGAAACAAGGAAGUAGUGGACAAAGAUGAAGUGAAACAUAAAGUUCCACUACGUGAAGUAGUGCAACUAAUUGGGCAAGACUAAUUGGAAGGAACCUUUACUUACAGCACAACUACAUACAUUUUCGACAGGAGUUUCCACAGAAGUUACUAAUAUGGGAAAUCUAAGUAAAUGGUCUGUAGUGUUACAAUUAACGCUAGCGAAAGGGUGCGUCUUGUUAAUUGGAGAUAACCAACCAAGAACCAAGAUAACGAUACUAUGACUUUAUCGAAAAUAAUAAUGUAUUUGCUAAUACAACUUCAUCAAAGGAUUUUUUCGAGCACUGCGUAGUGUUGUUGCGUGACUCGAUUCUUUUGGGUGUC